UACGUAGGGUGCAAGCGUUGUCCGGAAUUAUUGGGCGUAAAGAGCUCGUAGGCGGUUCGUCGCGUCGGCUGUGAAAACCCGAGGCUCAACCUCGGGCCUGCAGUCGAUACGGGCGGACUGGAGUUCGGCAGGGGAGACUGGAAUUCCUGGUGUAGCAGUGAAAUGCGUAGAUAUCAGGAGGAACACCGAUGGCGAAGGCAGGUCUCUGGGCUGACACUGACGCUCAUGCACGAAAGCGUGGGGAGCAAACAGG
rnacentral:rRNA from 1 species